GAGAAGAAAAAGGCAAAGAAAUAAAAAUUUAUUUUAAAGUUUGAAAUUAAAUAUUCUAGGCUUACAAAGUCCUUUUACAAAGUUAUUUUGCAUCAAGAGCACAUGGUGCUCCAAACACUUUCAACAUUACAGAUAUAUGGUAACAAAGUUUGUUCAUAUGGUAACAAAGUAACAAAGAGAGUAUAACAUCGAACAUUUCCUGAGGAAGGGACAUACGUAAAAUUCUGAGUUGCAACUUAUAACUGUCCUGUUCUAUACACCUUGAAUAUGGCUCUAAGGUUGAGGUUAGACCUUUAGAUACAAGGGUAAGUGGUUUGGGUCACUGAUACACAAAACUAUCACUUGAAGCGAAGACAGUCACAAGCUCUCUGUAUUACCAAGCAUAGGAGUCACAAGGUGUGGUCAUAUCAAGAGGAAGAACCUGGCACUGCUUGAUAAGCACAGUUUCUCAAUGUCUUUAAAUCUACCUUUGAACAAUUUUAAGGGGUACAGAACUUGAAAAUGGCUUUGAAAAAGGAAACAAUUUCUCAACAUACUACUACUUAAAGCUUUUUCGUCUGACACUCCUCAGAGCAUGAAAUGUUAGAAUAAGGGGCCGAAAGAACACAAUGGAAAAUAUAUACCCAGUUGUGGAUCGAAAUAUGCCAAUCAGAAAAUGUCUAUAUGGCAUCAGGCACUAUAUUACAGACAGAUGAACAUUAAAUUUCAUUGAAUUGUCAUAUCUUACUAACUUGCAUUUAGCAAGGUGUGCUAAAUCCGGCAACGAUGAGCAGCUGGUAACUGUGAAACCCCCGUUUCUAAUGGCUAAUACAGGAAUUUUCCUGGGGGACCAGAAGACCAAGCUACUUAUGAAAUACUUAUGAAAUUGGUCAUAUCUAAAAUAUGUUGUUCCAAUAUGUGUAAAAAUAUUGUAUGCAAACAAAAAUACAUUCACAUAUACACUACUGUAAAAGUGACUUAUAUAAAAAAAAUUGCAUUAAAUACUAGAAAUUAUCAAAUGCAAAGUGAAAGCAAAGAUCAAGAUUUUUAUCAACAAUAUUAAAGCUUACAAAGUAUUAAAUCUAAUAAUCAGAGCAAUAGUAAAAUUUAUUAAUCUUUAUUAAGAUUUAUUGUUAGAAUUAUGAAAUAGAAAUGGCUGAAAAUUAUUUAGAUGGCAACAUACUGAAAAAAUUUGGUUUAAAAUAGGUUGUAAACUUAAAGAUAUGACUCCAUCCAGGAUAUGAAAAUUCUUUACACAACCAAUAGCUCUUUCAACAUGAAUGCGUACUGUUGCAAUUCGGACUGUUUCUUCUGUUUCUUCUGCUGUUAGCUGGCUUCUAGUGCCUUUGAAAGGAGGGAUAUUAAGAGAUACACCAGGAGGAAGAAUAUUAGGUGUCAAAUCCUCUAUCGGCCAUGAUAUUGUCUCCAUCCUCUAAAAGUUGCAAAACACCACACUUCUGAGUAAUUUCUUAGAUCUGACACUCUGCCAGACCAAAGCUUUGAAAUGAAAGUAAUACAGCCUGUUGGUGAGAUUCCAACAAGGGCUUUCCAGGUGUUAUGAUGUUUGUACUGGGACCAAGUUUGAGACUGAGACUUAAGUAAAAAUUUCGGUACAGUCAAUAAUGUUUCUCGUAGUAGAAUAUUCUUUGAAUUGCUGUGGCAUAUCUUUCCGUAUUUUUUCUUGAGAUGGAAUCGGAAACAAAAGAGGAAGUUCAUGAAAUAAAAAGUUAAUCCAACUUGUAAAAAUAUUUGAAGCAUGUCCAGUAGAGAUUCCAAAUCUGUCUGGUAAAUCAUUCAUAAGUAAACCAACUUUAAGUCUCAUUAAAAGAAAAAUAAAUUCUUCUAAUUGUGAAAGGCUGCGUUUUGGACCAGGUUUCUGAGAUUGAGAGGACUUUUGAUAGAAAAGAUCUGAAACCUUAGAAGAUGUAGGCCCACACCAUUAAUGAAUACCUAUCAAGCCUUGGCUGGAAAUACUUAAACAAGGCAUGAAGAGAAGAAAAUUUUUUCCAGUUUAUCAAUUGAGAAGAGAGAGUUUUUCAGCUGAGAAAUUUGUUGUUCCAAGUCACCAAUUUGUUUGCAUAGUUCGUCAACUUGCAAAGAGAGUUCCUUGGUCUUUGUUGAAUGAUGGUCAUGCUGGUUACAAAUAUUAAAUAUUCGAUUACAUUAGAACCAAAGGGAGAAACAUCAUCAUCGCAGAUUGCAGUCGCUGAUGCAGAGAAAGAAAACGUAUGUUCAGCUGGCGCUUUGCGGGAUACUCUUGGCAACAAAACAACGUUACUGAACAGAUUCAAAGAAGGGACAGCUCCACUCUUCAGACGCCACUGAUUUUGAUGAUGCCCGCAUCAGUAAAAUGCUCUUCACAAAGGAAUGCAGACAGUGUAACAUUAAAACCAUCACAUCCAUCUGCACGUUUUAUGAGGUUACACCAACGAAGCUUGUCAGGGUUCUUUUGUGAGAAUCUGAAGAAAUGUAGGCCAGAUGGCCAUCCAUCAGUUUUUUAAAAGGUGUUAUAACCCCCAUAAGCCUUGCAUUGCCUACCAAAUCUUUUCUUCGUCUUUGAAACACCUUCUACCAUUUCAACGUCUUCAUUCUUCAUUUCCAAAAACUUGUCUUGGUUAAAAGGCAAAAGAAUUGUAGAAAUUUUAUGUGGAAGCAGCGUACAAGAUUUAUGCCAAACAACAACUGUCUUCAUUUCAUUAAACACCCUCAUUGUCAAACGGCCAAAAAAGGGAUUGUGAAAAGGGUCUAUUGGCCGGUGAAGCAGUUUCAGUCAAGAUUUUUUCAAAACAGAGUCCUAGAAAGAACUUGACCCCCGUAGUUGUCAUCUGAACGAGCGAGCCCUAUAUUCUUGCUAAAGGCUUCCAGGUUACUCGGCUCGAUAGCUGCACCAAACUAGGUACAAACAAAAAAACGAAACUUAAACAGCUAAACUUAUAUUUUGUAUGAAUUUAAAGGUAUAAUCGGUCAUAGAAAAGGCAAAAUUUAUGCAAAAAUCUACACAGGUCCGUGCUGCUCUGAAAAUCCUACAUGUCUGACCUGGGGGUGAAGGCCCCGCACGUUUCUCUCACAACCUAGGUGUAUUUCUUGGGAAAGAGAAUUUUUGAAAAAGCAAAUAAGGUAAUGUCAUAUGAGGAUUUGUUUUUAGAUGGCUGCUUAGAUUUUCAGCUUAAUAGCUUUUGCUGAAACUUUAGCUUUGUAUUUUCCAUAGUUGUUUUGUUAUUGAUACAUAGUUGAAAAAUUGUAAUUGUAAAAUUGCAAUUCGCUGUAGUACUGCAAGCAGUUAAGGGCCAUCUCAGCCUAGAUACUUGAAUUACAAAAAAAGGUUUUAUAAAAAAGUCAUCAAUCUAGGCUCAUCAUAAACAACGCAGCAUUUUAGUUACACAUGUUCUUUUUCAUGACACUGGUUUGAAUUUUGUUGAAUCAUUUUGUUUUGAUGUAAAUAAUUUGGAGAAAUGACUAUAUUUUGUUAUUGCUAGCGGUGAGCUACACAAAUGUCUUUCAUGUACGGCUGUUACAACAUGGUAGCUUACUGAAUGUAUUGCUGAAGGUCUGGCCAAGAAGCCGCUGUGUCUUGAAAUAACUUCUAUCUAUCAUCGCAACGAUAAUGCACUGAAAAGGCUUUGGCAGCACUUUAGAACUUAAUUUUGAGGGACAAUCCCUAUAAUGGGCGCCCUAUACUGGGGCGCCCUAUAUUGGGGGAAGCGUUACCAAUAUGGUUGGAAAAACUAAUGGGUGCAUACAAAUGACCACCUUAGAAAGGAACUAAUUCUUUACUUUUUUCAAUUCAGCAAGCAUGAUUUUAGAAACUGCCGUUAGUUCUUUGUCCUUUCAGCUAAGACAAUGAACCUUGGUAGGAUGAUACUCUUAUCUAUUCUCGACAUUUUAAUGCUAUUCUUUUAUUUUUAAGUCACGUGGUUCAACGGUGAUGUCAUUAUAACAUUGGCCUACUGGAGAAAAAAUUUAGAAAAUUUUAGAAAAUCUUAAAAAGUUCAUUUAAGUCAUUCAAGUCUUAAAAAGUUCAUUUAAGGCUUAAAAAGCCUUCAACAUCAUUUGUAUAUGACUAUCAUAUACAACUAAAUGAAGUAUGUAACAAUUUUUUAAUGAUAAAAUAGGUUCAUUUUAAAUACCUUAGCAGACAAACUAAUCUAAACUGUCUUGGCUCAUGCCAUCAGCUUGCACUUCAUUUCAAUUAACGCCUAGAAAUGUGUCAACAAAUGUGUGUGCACAAACUUUGUUUUCCAGGGAAAUGUCAAGGGCCAAAAACAAGGUUCUACAUGGGAUGUGAACUGCUCAUAGAUCUUUACAACGAUAAUCUUUUCAAAAAUCAUUUGAGAUACUUCAUUCAAGUUAAUGGACAAUGUCCUCUGUGAUGAAAAAAUUGCAGCAGAAUUGAAUGGAAAAACCAAUUUUUUGAUUUACACUAAAUAACAUUAAAAUCAAAGAUUUUUGACUUGCCAAACUGCUUCCUCGACCCUUACAAGCUGGAAGUGAAUGCUGCUGCAAAGCUUCUUUGUCUCCACCAUUACAGGCUCUUGAACAACCAACUCAAAAGACUCAGACUGGGAGCCUGGUUUUUAGGCAAGUUACUGAAAAACGGAACAGACGGAAGGGCAAAGUAAGGACGAAGAAGAACAAAGUACUAUGCAUGACAAAAGAAAGGCAAUUCUGUUGAGAAAAGUUGUAGUAAUGGCAAGGUCACAGUGUUCUCUGACUCGCAGCUACGCCCACUUGUUCAGGUGGACGUUCCUGUUCCUACAAACUGGUACGUUAAUUCAACGCCAGGUGGUUGCUUCAGCCAUGUAAAAGAAGAAAUUCUGGCCGCCAGAAUUCCCCAAAGCAAGACCCCUUUGUAAGUCAUUCUUCUUAUUGCUUCAAAUGAUCUCUCCAAGCAUGUGGUUAUGGAUAGGGCUAGAGGUGACUUUCAUGGGCUUCUUCUCGCAGUUAAGAAAAAAUUCUGGCUUUCAAAGGGAGCUAAUAAUUUUAUCAAUUACAUCUCUAUCAAUUUAUGAGACAUUCGAAUAUUUGUUACCAGAUCUUCGAUUCUUCCUUUUCAUAAAUAUUAAGAAAGAAAGUUCAAAAAGCGCUUCCUUUUGUUGUUAAUUUUUAUACUUUUUGGGAUUUGUAUAUUCUUAUAUUUCAUACCCGUUAGAUUUCCACUACAGUAGAUUACACCAAAUUACAUUACAUGCCAGUUUGGUUAAACAAUUUGGACUCAUAAUGCCACACAGGUCUGAAAAAAAUUGGCAAAAAAUUCCUCAAACGUGAUCAAAACUGUACCCAUAAUUCCACACAGCAAAUAACAUUGUCCCCCCUCCCCCCUGAGGUUUAAAUAGCAUUUUAAUUUUUUUUUAUAAAGGUUGUUGCACUAUCAAUGUUGCUGCGUCUAGACAAAUUUUGGAUUUGCGAGGCAAAACACAAAGAAGUAAUGGACCAAGAGUGCCAGAAACUUAGGGUUCGCUUCUUUGACGUGACACUGAACUUUUAAGUCAGGGAUCCACAUCUUUGGUCGUGGAAAGGCGGACUUCACAUAAGUGAAGACAAAGGCAUCCCACUUUUGCUGUGUCUUUUGAAGAAAGAAAUAAAUUCACUUAAAGCUGCUGUGGUCCAGGAUUCAUCGCCAUCACCUCCACCACAACCUGCUCCAGAGCCCCAAUACCCAGCGUGGCUAUGGAGAGAACUCCGGCACCAUCACUCCGAAGGUCACCCAGCACCACCAACAGCAAUCAGAUCGCAAUUUUCCAAGGAUAUAAACAUUUACAUAUAGCCACAAAGAAUUGUAACACCCCUUAUACCGGCAGAUAGCCUUAUUUAUUUAGCCACAACUAUCCACCAUACUCAAACAAAACCUUGACAUACUACAAAACUCUAACGCAUGUAAAGAAGCCUUUCCCGACACACCCAUACUUAGUUACCGCAGACCGAAAAACCUCCGGGAUUUACUGGUUCGUGCUAAAAUUAAAAAUGCCCCAUCCAGUGAUCCCAUAGGUUCGUACAAAUGCCGAUCGCGACGUAACUGUUUAACAUGCCAACAUAUCACAGACGGGACUACAACAUUUAAUUUUUCUAACACUGACAAAAACUACGACAUGAAACAAAGACUGGACUGCAACUCCACCAACGUCAUAUACGCAUUACAAUGCAAACGCUGUCUACAUAACGGAAACAAAAACUGCCAAUACAUCUGACAAACUAGCAGAAGACUUAAACGAACACAGACGAGACAAUAUCAACAAAAAAGAAGACAAGUCUGGUGUUGCAGAACAUUUCUGCAGCCCAGCACACACCAUCCACGACCUUGCCAUCACACCACUACUUAGACUUAAUGACAAACGAGAGAGUGUUCGUCGAGCUAAGGAGCAAUAUCUCAUUAGCAUGGCGAACACCCUCACCCCCAACAGCAUGAACAGAACUACCGACUGUUAACUUUACAAAACAACUUAUCACCUAUCAUGCCGCCCUCACAACCCACACCAUAUUUUCCCUACCCAUUGUAAUCAUCAAAACCACUAUCACUACCAUCAACAUUCCA